AAAAAGUUCUUUUUGCGGAAAAGCCCCCGGUUUCCUCCGUUCUCUCUCUUCCUUCGACCUUCAGAACCCUCGGGUUCCGACCGACCCGACCCGGCCAAACGGUGGUCCUCCGGCAUCCUCCGGCCACGACCCGGCCUUCCCCGAGCUCGCCGUCGCACGCACAGCCUCCCUCUGGCCUCCCCUUGCAUCGCCGCUGCCCCCAGACGUGGAUCGAAGCCCCCCCCAGCCUAGCUUUUGACCCGAUCGGAUCUUGGCCGUGCCGGCGUUGCACGGGCCGAUCCUCCCCAUUUUCGUGAUCUCCUCCUUCCCCUGAUCAUCCUCAUAUCCUCCUUGCUUGACGAUUUGGAGUGUGGAGUGAAAGAUCACGAGUUGAAGAUUUCGACGUCCCUGAUUCAAUCUGGAAUCUGAUCAGACGCACGAGAUUAAUCCAACUUCAACGCUUGAUCUAGGACGAUCUAGGCCGAACCAGGCUUAGCUCCAGGUGAUUGACGGUUUGAGUUGGUGGACGAUUGUGGAUCGUAUUUUGAGCUGAAUUGAAGACGCAGCGGGAUUAUCGAGCGGGUAAUCCUACAGGACAGGAGAACCAGGACGGUGAUCGUGCGGUUAGAGCAAUUGUUAGAGUUUUACAACAAUUGUAAGUUGUGAGGUGUGUUAUGCUCAUUUGAGCUUUAUAAUAUAUUGAGAGAGUGAAUUGUAAUAAUGAACUCGAAGUUUCGAGAUUUGGGUUUUUGUAAUUGUAAUUAUUCAGGUUUCGGAUUUGAAUUUAUCAUUCAAAAUCCGGGGC